rnacentral:rRNA from 1 species
UACGUAGGGGGCUAGCGUUGUCCGGAAUCAUUGGGCGUAAAGCGCGUGUAGGCGGCCCGGUAAGUCCGCUGUGAAAGUCGGGGGCUCAACCCUCGGAUGCCGGUGGAUACUGUCGGGCUCGAGUACGGAAGAGGCGAGUGGAAUUCCUGGUGUAGCGGUGAAAUGCGCAGAUAUCGGGAGGAACACCUGUGGCGAAGGCGGCUUUCUGGGCCCUACCUGACGCUGAGACGCGAAAGCGUGGGGAGCGAACCGG